AGGGCGCGCGUGGAUGACGUCACUAGGCGCGUGCCUGGUAGCCCGUAGUAACCCGGAGUCCGCGGAAGUGGAGACCUGUGGGCAGUCUGCUAAGACAGGGGACUGAAAAUUGUGAAACACAACACAGUGACAUCAGUUUUGUUUAUUUCUUGUUAGUAGCCACUUAACAAUUGUGGAAGAUUAAAGGCAGAGACAAAGCUUCAUCUGAGAUUUUAGCAAAGCUCUUCCACAGCAAACGGCACCAUGGACAUAAAGCUGGACCCUGCCCGAGAUGAUCUGCCUCUUAUGGCCAACACCAGCCACAUACUGGUGAAGCAUUAUGUACUGGAUUUAGAUGUGAAUUUCGAAAGUCGCGUUAUCGAGGGCACCAUAGUGCUUUUCUUUGAGGAUGGAAACAGAUUCAAGCCGCAGACUGGCUCUACCAAGGAAACCUGCCAGUUGGCAUCAAAGGAAGCCUGCAAAUCUGGGACACCUGAGCUCUGCCAUCUUCCUGUGCCAAAUGCAAGGACCACAUUUAAUGUGGGAUAUAAUGAUUUUAUAAUCUGUGAUAAAGGUGAGGAAGAUACAUCUGAUAAAGAUGGUAACCAUGACAACCAGGAACAGGCUCCUGGGAUCUCUAGCUCAAAGUACUGCUGUGACACAGAGAAUCAUGGGAGAGAGGAUUUUUUGGUGGUGCUGGACUGCUGUGAUUUAUCUGUGUUAAAGGUCGAGGAGGUGGAUGUGGCCGCUGUGCAAGGUAUUGAAAAAUUUACAAGGUCUUCCAAGCUGACAGUUGUUUCUAAAGAGCUCCGGAAUGAGAUUGUUCAUGAACUUGUGACUCUGCCUGCAGAUCAUUGGAGGGAGCAGUUAGACUAUUUUGCUCGCUGCAGCCAGGCUCCUAGCUGCGGAGAACUCUUCUUUGACACUGACGCGUGGAGCUUACAGAUCAAGAAGACAGGGGCUCAGACAGCUACUGACUUUCCUCAUGCCAUCAGGAUAUAUUACAAAACCAGACCCGAGGGACAGUCAGUUACGUGGACCUCAGACCAGAGUGGCAGGCCAUGUGUUUAUACGAUGGGAUCUCCCAUAAACAACAGGGCCCUCUUUCCAUGCCAGGAGCCACCCGUUGCCAUGUCAACAUGGCAGGCCACAGUUCGAGCAGCUGCAUCUUUUGUUGUUUUAAUGAGUGGGGAAAAUUCUGCCAAGCCAACACAGCUUCACGAAGGGUGCUCAAGCUGGCAUUAUUAUGUGACCAUGCCGAUGCCAGCCUCCACCUUUGCCAUUGCGGUGGGAUGCUGGACAGAAGUAAAGCCUGAGGCGUGCUCCUCCGGUGACCCGGCCAUGGAGAGACCCUUCCCACCCCCCGAGACCGAUUGCAGGUGUGUCGGUGGCUGCGGUCACACCGAGUACCCCUGCCGCUUCCAGGACGCCGUGGCCACCACCCAGGAGACCAUCCCGCACCGCGUCUUCGCCCCCGGCUGCCUGGAGGGAGUCUGCCAGGAGACCCUGGUGCGGCUGCUGCCUGCCUGCCUCCUCGCCGCACACGCGGUCCUAGGCACCCACCCCUUCUCCCGCCUGGACGUACUCGUGGUCCCUGCUAACUUUUCGAGUCUGGGGAUGGCCAGCCCACACAUCAUCUUCCUCUCCCAGAGCACCUUGACAGGCAGGAGCCAUCUCUGCGGGACCCGGCUCUGCCACGAAAUUGCUCACGCCUGGUUCGGCCUGGCCAUUGGCGCCCGGGACUGGACGGAGGAGUGGCUCAGUGAAGGGUUUGCCACUCACCUGGAAGACGUACUGUGGGCCCAAGCGCAGCAGCUGGCCCCCCACGAGGCCUGGGAACAGCAAGAGCUGAGAGCUUGCCUGCGCUGGCACCGCCUCCAGGACGAGCUGCGGAACUCCCCCGAGGAGAUGCAGGUGUUAAGACCCAGUAAAGAGAGAACUGGCCAUGUGAGUGACUCAGGGGCCUCUGUCGUCAAACAUGGGCUCAGUCCAGAGAAGCCCUUCAUGCAGGUUCAUUAUUUAAAGGGCUACUUCCUCCUUCGGUUCCUUGCCAGAAGACUUGGGCAGGAAACCUAUUUUUCGUGUUUAAGAAAAUUCGUGCACAAGUUUCAUGGGCAGCUGAUUCUUUCCCAGGAUUUUCUUCAAAUGCUGUUGGAGAGCAUCCCAGAAGAAAAAAGGCUGGAGCUGUCUGUUGAAAACAUCUUCCAAGACUGGCUUGAGAGCUCCGGAAUCCCAAAGCCGCUGCAGGGGGCGCGCCCGGCCGGGGCGGACUGCGGACUGGUGCGGCGGGUGGACGCAGAGGUCACCAGAUGGAUGCAGCUAGACCGGAGACCCCGAAAGCGGAGGCGCAGGCAGGAGGAGGAAGAGGAGGAGGUGGUGUCUGAGAAGAAAUAUCCUCCCCCGCAAGUGGAGAGCCAGGUAGCGGAAGGUGUUGACCAAGGAGGAGUGUCUCUGUCUCUGUCUCUGUCUCUCUGCUUCCAGACCAGCUGGUCUUGCUUUUGGAACGUCUCUUGGAGGAGAAGACCCUGACUCAUCCAACCCUGCAGGCCCUCCAGAGGACGUACCAUCUCCAUGAGCAGGACGCAGAGAUCGCGUCAGCUGGAUCGCAGCUGCCACCGUAGUGAGGUGAGGAUCCCGGAACUGGCUCUGUGAUGUCCUCUGCCCACGAACCUCACAGCGGACCUUCAUACAGCUUUCCUGCUGCGGACCAUAAUGGAGCAUGGCAGACCAGGGCUCGCCUCUGGCAGCAGCCUCUCCCAGCCUCCUCCUUUCUGAAGUUAGAAAGCCAUGACUCGCGUCUCACCUGGCUUCGGUGGCUGAGGCCUGCUCUGAUGUUUCAGUGGCUGUGCUUUUGCCAGAAAAUUAAUUUGUGCGAAAGGUCAUCAGCACUCUCAUCUGUCUCCUCACAGAGGUGGGAGAAAUCCUGUUGGUUGUAAAGCAGGGCCCUUCUGGAUUAGAUGGAGCAAAAAAGUGUGGGUGCCACUUGCGCAGUGUGGGUGUGGUCACCGGGCUGGCCACCUGUGGAGGGAAGGGAGGGCCCCUACUCACUCGGGGUAUGUGGACUUCAUUUUUCGAUAACUCUUGAACCUGCAGGCCCAGGAUCUGCUGCUGGCUGAGGCCGAGACUCAGCAGUGAGCUGUGUUGAAGUCCAGGGCCCCAGCCCAGUGGGGGCCCCAGCCAGGUCAUCCUCUCUCCAUGGCUUCAUUGUAUUCAUCAACAGGGCAGUGCUGUGACCAUAGCAGUAGCUUUUGGGGGUUUGUUUUAUAUCACAGCCAACUGGGAAAACAUCAUGAAACUGUCUUUACUCCAUUUUCUGUUUUGUCUUUCUUCAUUUUCUAUUAAAAAUGUAUGUCAUAUAUUAAGUUAAUUUUAUGAUCUGCUAAUGGUUCAUAGCCUGCAGUUUGAAAAAUGCUAGGUAGAGUGGUUUUGGGUUUUCACCAACUCUGGGGAAUUUGGGGUUAGGGAUGCUGAGUCUUCAUUUCCUCAAAAUGAAAUGAAGCCUUGACUAUUUUCAUAGGAGUGUGAAUGGCUUAAGACAAGAGAACUCAGUGACUACUAAGCAGAUGCGGGGCUCAGUUUCUAGAGGUGAAUUCUGGCACUCUCAUUACUUAGAGGCCACACAGCUGUCCUGUUGGGUUCUUCAUGAUUCAUUACCAAGCCACCUGGCCCCUGGUUCAGUGGGAUCUGGUUUUACUGGGGUAGGGGCAGGCCUGCUGUAAAUGAGGCAUUUCCAGCCCAAGCACCUCUGAUGUUGUGCUUGGACCGGAUGGUGGGUACUUUCUUUUUAGCAGGAGACUGUGCUUGGCAUUGUGGGAUGUUAGCAUCCCUGGCUUCUGUCCAUGAGGUGCCAGUAGCCACUCCUUUCUUUUCCCCCAAUGUGGCCCUCACGCCGCCUGUCCCCAAGUGCGGCCCAGUGUCCCCAGCAGAAGUACUCUGGUUAGGAACCAGUGCUUUAAGACAGGGGCUGGCUCAAGGGAUAGUUUUCAAAACCUUGUUUUAAAUGAUUAGUGAAAGUUGGCUGCAGUACAGAGUGGGGUGAUGGGAAAGAUGGCUGACAAUGUUUAGAGGUGGCCCCAAGCCUGCUCUCUUUCCUCCUGAGGUCCCAGGGUAUGUCACCUUGGGAGAGGUGAAAAUAGGCUUUUGCUUGGAAGAAAAGGCAGUGCCAUUUAGAGUAGCAGCAGUGAGUCACAGGUUGGUAAGAAAAGACCAACCUGUUCUGCCACAAGCCUCUGCCAGCGUCCGUAGAGUCCUCUGAAGUCACUUUCAAGGUCAACUGCGGCUAGGCAAACUCUCUGCCAGCCACACAGCCUUGGCGGGCCUUGUGCCCUGGGUCCCUGCCCACUCGGUCCCCAGUUUUCCGAGGCAGGCAGGGGAGCUCUCUUAUAGCAGGACCUGAGGGGCGGAGGUGGAGGCUGCACCCCCGCAGGUGCUGGUCCCUGAGCCGUGAGGCUCACUCUGGAGUUGCAUCUGGGCCACAAGCAUUGUUUCUGAGAACCGACCACUUGGCCACUCUUGGCCUAUUGAGAGGAGGUGGGCAGUUCUUGAACUGAGUGCUGGGCAUGAUCCUGCUUAUGCCUUUGAACGCAGAGACCCUGUGCCCUCUCUCGGAGACUUGGGGUGCUCCAGAGAGUCUCAGCUCCUGGCUCUCCUCUUCUUACUCUUGUCCUAGUCUGGUCACACAUAGGACAUUUCUGUUUUGGUUCCUUGCACAGUGGUUGGAGGAAAGGCCAGAUGUGCUUUCUUCGGGUGCUCCAGCCGUUUCAGGGUGCUUGAUGAUGGAAUGCAGGGUGCUAGCCUGGGCUCCGGUCCCGUCACCCCUUGCACAGAAUCCACGGACAUACUGAAUGAGGCAAGAACAGUGGCUCAGGCCCUGUGAUCCCAGGGUGCGUGGGCUCAGGCCCCUGCUGUGCCUCCCCUGCUGCAGUCCUGGGUGUGGGACCAAGGCUUCUCUCUUGGGGACUGUCCUGGGUCACCUAGGCUUCUGAGCAGGAACAGUGCAGUGCUCGGAGGCCCGCAGCUGGUGCCUGCUUCCUCUCCCCCUUGCUCUGCAGGUGCCCCAGGGGCCUCAUUACCCAGCCUGCCAGCUCACUGGGUCAUCACCCAGCAUUGUCAGGAGGCACCAUCAUGGAACGGAACCCCACAAGGCAGGUUUUCAGGCUGAACAUGAAAAGGAGACCAUUGUGGAGGGCGGAAAGUUGAGUGGCAAUUAGCGAAGUGUUCUUCCGGGAUGAAAUGGGGCAGGUCUCACAGGGUGGGGGGCUCCUCAGGGGCAAGUCAGCUCACAGACACAGGCCCAGGCCAUUUGUCACUCAGAGUCACAGGUACAAAGGGUUGGCCCAGCUCGGGUUUCGGAUCGAGGGGCCAAAUGCUGCUGAGUCUGUGCUUCAGGCUUCGCCAGUCUCUGAAGCUGGGAGGAUGCUGGCACUGUGAUUCUUUUCCAAGUGCUAAAGGCCAGGCCGUGCAGAUGAAAAGGAAGGCCUGGGGUGUCUGCUUUAAGCUGUAUCUUUUUAAACAAGCGUAAACUUUUUAGAUUACUACUAUCUGGUUAUUUCUGAGGAUAGGGACUGCGAGUUAUUAGCCAUGAAUUCCUACAGCCUGCUUUGGAUGGGUCAGGGUUAAAUGGAUGAGGAUGGAAAAAGCCACAGGCAACAAACCUGCUUUUCUUUCCUUUUUUUGUCUUUUUGAGACAAGGUCUUACUAUGUUGUUCAGGCCAGCUUGAGCUCACUAUGUAGAGUGGAAGGUUGGCCUCGAACUUGCAGUGGUCCUCCUGUCUCAGCCUUCUGAGUUCUGGGAUUACAAGAACUUUGUAAAUGUGCUUCUAAUCUAGUCCACCAGACUAUUAGAAAAGUUUCUGUUCUUGUUAUCGGCCACUUAAUGUUUCCACUGCUUGCUUCUUCCUAUGUAUUUAGCAGCUGGUUCAGUUUUAUAGAUAGCUGAAGAUUUAAGGGUAUCGUCUGUUCUUGCUAUUCUUGUAGGUACGCCCCCCCCCCCUCCACUGUAAAGAGUUCUUCAAAAAUUUGGGAUUCUUGGGGUCUAAGUAGAAGUUGCCCUAUUUUCUUCUGGUGUACCCAAGAAACCAGCUACAUCUUUAGGUCACUUUAUUUCUAAAGGCCUCUAGAGAAAUCAAGACCUGGAGUUUUAUCGGUGCUUCUAGGUUUGUUAGUUUAUGUAUUUUUGUAGUAGGGUUUUGUUCUGUGAUCCACACCAAAAAUCUUCACAAUUAACUUCAAACACUGUGUGUCCUUUCAUAUUCGUAAGGUGAAUCGUAUUUUUAACAGUUCGGAUCUGAAAUGAUUCCCCAGAGCCGCCUGCGUUUGGAAGGUGGCUGGAUUAUGGCAGCAGGGUGGCUGGCUGGCUGUUAGGAGGAGUCGUGGUCAGAGACCUGGAAGUGUCUCCCCAUCCAUCCCUCUCUCUCUCCGUUACCUGGCCCCCGUGAGGAAACCUUCGCUCUGCUCCUCUGCCUUGCUGUCCUGCCUCGGAGCCAGCUGCCUCUGGAUUAAAACUGUGAGCUGAGCAACCCUCUUCUACUUUCGUCAGGUAUUGUGUCCCAGAGAGGGGAAAGUGGCUGAGACAAUAUGCAGAUGGAAGGCGUCUUCCCGUGCACCUCUGUGCCCUGUGAAGCAGCCUUGGAGUGCCCAGCACGCUGGGGGGCCUCAGGCUGUGGGUCCUGCACAGUGUGGAUGGAAGGUGAGCUCUGCCUGUGCCUGUGGGCAGUGCCCAGGGGCUGCUGACCCUAGUGUUUUGUUCAUUUGGCAGGGUAUGGAACCAAGACGGGAACACAUGGUCUAAACAUGGAGGUGGUGCCAAAACAGGGUCUUUAGGCUAUGCACUUUGCACAUCCCUCUUGCCACAACCUCAGACCAUGUGGCACCGUGUUCCUCAGGCCAGCUGGUCUUACCUGUCUGUGGGUGGAAGCAGUUGUCAGGUGGAGCAUGGGAAGUCCCCAAGCACAGGAGACCGGCCAGUAGUUGGCUGCGCGUUCCUGAGACUUUCCCUGCUGCUCCGCCCUGGGGACCCAGGCAGCUUCUCCUGCCCCAGCUUGGCUUGGCUAUGGCUCAUCCAAAGGCUGAUGAUGGCGAUUGUUUGUAAAGAUGUUUUUGAAAAUGGAAUUCACGAACACCAUGUAAUUCACCCAUUCCACGCGCACGGUUCAGUGGCUCUAUGUGUAUUCAGAGUUGCACAACCAUCACCACAGCCGGUCGUAGAGCGUUUUCGUCAUCCCAUAAGGAAACCCAGCUCGCCUUAGCUGGCGUCCCUACCUCCCCCACCACCAGUCCUGAGCAGGCACUGGCUCUCUGUCUCCAUGUGUCACUCAGCAGAGUCACCAGCAGCCUGGGUCCCACAUCCCCUGUAGCCUGGUGUCCCAGGGACCAGCCACGUUUGGAGCGCACGUUGGUCUUCCGCUGGGCUUUUCUGUUGUUAUUUUUGUGUUGGGCUUCGAAUCCCUAUCACUGAGCUCUACCCUCAGCUCCUUUACCCUUUUUGUUUUGAAAUAUUUUCAUUGUCCUGGAUGCACUGCACUGGUGUAUCUGUUUAUCACCCAGUGGACACUCGGGUUUUUGUACUCUUUAGUACGAAUACUGCUGUGUUAACAGUUGUGUACAGGUUCUUGUGUAGACGCAUUCCUUGAACUCCGGUUCAUGAGAGCUGCUGAGCUCUUCCCAAGGUGCUGCUCGUUCUGCCUUCUCCCCAGCAGUACUCGGGGUUCUGGUCUUUCCGCCCUUGCUGUGUAUCAUUUCAGGCAUCUCAGUAGCUACGGGAUGGCGUCUCAUUCCGUUUUCACUGCCCUUCCUUGUUGGCUGUUAGUAUGGCGCCCUUUCCUUGGGGACCAUCUGUGCAUCUUACUUGGAGAACUAGCUAGACAGCCUUUGGCUCCUUUGAAAAUUGCCUCAUUAAAAAAAAAAACUACUGAGUUAAAAGUACUGUAUAUAGUCUGGAUAAAAAUCCUUCAUCAAAUAUAAUUUGCAAAAGCAUCCUUGGUGUUAUCUUUUCAUUUUCUUGAUGAUGUUCUUUGAAGAGCAAAAGUUCUGACUUGUGAAGUCCAGUUUAUCCAUUUUCUGUCUUGCUGCUUGUGCUUUCGGUGCCAAAUGUAAGAAACUGUCGCCUGACCCGACACAGUGGGGAUUCCAUGCCUGUUUCUUUCUAAGAGUUUGCAGUUUAGCUCCUAUAGUUCAGAGCUUAGGGUGCCCCCAGCUGUAUUUGAAACUGUUUACGAAAGCAAACUGUUCCUUAGCCCACGUGUUCCUGCUCUGUAGUUUUUGGACACGGGUCAGUGACAGACCCUGGAGCUCCAUCCACAGCUGUCCACAGGGUCACCCACCCCACAGCUCACGGCAUCGGGUCUCCCAUGGCCUCCCUUGGCACUCGCCACCUACAUGUGCAUCUUGCUGGGUUGGUCUCUGACUCUGCCGAGCUCCAGGCAGCAGGGCCACGUCUGUCCUUUCACUUUGCCCUCAGUAUGCAGUGCACAACGUGGGAGGGUGACUGCCCCAGGGUCUCUGGUCUGGCACCAGGUGGUGGGAGUGACCUAACCCAGGAGUAUGUGUCCUGUGGGGUGGGCAGUGUGCCCUUCUACAGACCCGGUGAGGCCUUCAAGCACAGUCUACCUCUGGUGACACAGAGGUCCUAUUUUGGGCAGUGGCCACAUAUACUGUCACAAAGAAAGGGGAAGGUGUUUCCUGGUUUCAGGAUUGCAUGGCACGCCAGCCAGUAAGUGGGCGUGGCAGGAGGAAGUGGGCCAUGCAGACCCCACUGGCCUCUGAGUUCCCGGUUUGGGCCUUAAUAGCCGUGGUUAUACAAGAACAUUUGUCUAGGGCAAGGGUCUGCCUGCGCCAACCCAAGUGAAGCACUGAUGCUUGCUUGGUCAUUGGUGGGCACUCUCGCCCUCACCACGUCCUCUGUGUGCACGUCAAGUGCAGUGGCCCUGGCAAUGAGGGUGACCCGUCCUGAGCUGCUGCAGCUCUCCUUCCUGGUUCAGGCUCCCGUGGGAGAGGGCACAGGCACAGUGGAGCCUCGGUGGCCCUUGGCCUGCCAAGUUACCCCCUCCGCUGACCUCAAAGCCUGGAGCAAAGCAGUGUUUCAGGCCCUCUGCUCUCAGAUAGCGCUCGGGUCAUGGCCCUGUGGGAGUGAGGAGCAGCCGGGGAGAGUGGACUGUGAAAUCAGCGCAGAGAUGCCCGUGGGCCUGGUGGGAGCGGCGGCAGAUGUGCCCUGGCCUUCCUCACGGGGACCCCCGGGUGGACGCACCCAGCUGCGGGGGCCUGGGAAUGGCAUCUGCCCGUGGCCACUCCACCCCGCUGUCCCGCUUCACAGCAGGAAACUUAACUUUAAAGCUGAGUAAACCAAAUUUAAGGACACAAAUUGAGAAAGCAGGGUUGUUUAUUGCAGUGCAGCCUCACUGACUUCCCAAAGCCAUGCGGCCUCGUCUUUCUGUUUACAGAUACAAAUGGAACCCUAAAUGAGGUUUACUGGGCUCCCCAGACAGUGUUCCCGGGACAGAGUUUUUCCCCUCAGCAGUAAACUUCAAAAUCAAAAGAACUGGAAAGAAAGGGGAUGCUUCCUGUCAUAAAUAGGGUGGGUGGCGUUCUUUAGAGCAUUUUAUAGGUUCCAACUGUGCAUUAUAAUUUCAGCGUACCCAAGAGCAUUCCAGGCUUGCAGAAGGGCCACAACCUUCGGGAAGCACACGCCCAGCGCUCACCAUGUGCUGUGUGCUGCUCCCCGGCCUACAUGACAGCAGAGAUGACACUUCAGUGACUGUCGGUGCCAUUUGGGAUCAUGGGCAGCAGCAGAUGCCAUGCCACCAGUCAGCAGCCAGGACAAGGCAGGCCACUGAAGCAGGCUACAUUUGGCGGGGCCAUGGCCGUGCCAUCUAGUGUCGAAACAGCCGUCUCUUCCCUGCGGCCAGGCCGCAGCCCUCCUGGUACAAGGCCGGACCCUGAGGAUGACCUUUGCUUCCUGGAGGCAUCAGGAAAUCAAUUUGAAGAUUUAAAUUGGUCUUUAUGCACUGGGGUUCCUGGUGAGACUUCAUGAGAAGGACUGUACUAUAGGAAGGUUUGAAGACCACUUUAGAAAGUCUCGGGGCUGGAGAUUUAGCUCAGCGGCAUAAGCGCCUGCCUUGCAAGCAGGCAGUCAUGAGUUCUAUCCCCGGUACCGAUAAAAAGGAAAAAGACAAAAAAAAAAAAAGAAAGUCUCUAAGGCACUAAGUAAGUUAGAUGUGGUGGUUCAGGCCUGUAAUCACAGCAGCCUGAGGAGGCUGAGGCAGGAGGACCACGAUUUCAAGACCAGCCUGGGCAACUUUCUGAUCUCAGCCCAGGUCGGUGCAGCCCAGGUGCAGCCCUGCCUGUCUUUGUAAGUAAUGUUUAUCCAAAGACUCGCUUUCCUCUCUGCUGUCUAGGGCCUAAGGGCCCUUAUUAGAAAAAAUUGUUCACUGCUGUUGCGGAGUUUAAUGGCUCCUGGUUCCAGCACAUGGAUCCGUCUUGGGUUGAGCAAAGGUGGGGUACGGGCUUUUGUUUUGUCGCUUUUCUGUUUCCAGAGGAAAUGGGCGCAAGGGAGGAACGUAUCCUGACAAAGGUUGUUCUUUGCAGGGUGCCUGCCGGGCUAUGACUGUGUCUGGACUCAGUCUGGCUUAGGGCUGUAGACAGCCUCUAGCGAGGCAGCACUGUGGAUACCCCUGCUGGAGAUCAGAGGGCAGCUCCUGUUUUAGGGUCUCCAGCCACGAGGCCUUGGUGGGGGUGGUAAUGACUAUCAGCUGGGCCAAUGCAGGGAGCCUGGCACAACAAAUGAUUAGUGAAGUUUCCACCCUGCCCAAGGCCUCGGCCUGCCCCUCCUGUGCCAGGAACCUCAGGCUCAGCCCAGGUGCCGCCUCACUAGGUGAUUCCCAGCCUCCCUUGCACCCCUUGGAGCCUCCUGACCAUGGCACAGUCACAGCCCCUGCUUGUCUCAUUGACACUGCCUGUCACCUCACUGGGUACCAGACAUCUCCUUGGAGUUCGUAUGGAUCAGUGAGUAAUAGGGCACCAAAGUAAAAGAGCAAGCCAGAGCAGAGCUGAGGCCAUGGGCACUUCCUGUGUGUCCAGCCCGGGGGCAGCCCAGAGUGCAGGUCCUGGAGAGCCAGAGCUGGUGGGCUUUCACCAUGCAGGCCAAGCUGGACCCAUGGUCAGAAAAUGUGUUUAGUAGGUUGGCAGCUGGCACUUUGAAAACAAGGAAGACAAAACUAGGGCGUUGCAGAUAGUGAGGGAAAUAACCCUUAGCUUGCAGAGUUUGCACCCACGUGUGUACUUAGACCUGGGCAUGGAAACACACACUGCUAAGCAUGCGUGUGAUGGUACUGGACACCCCUCUGUUCCCGUGCCAUUCCUGUCUCAUCACUGGCAGCCACAAGUGUGCUUGGAAUUAAGAUGCUGCUGGGCUUGAAGCCAGAGCCAGGGUGUGCUUCAUGCAGAAGUCUUUUCACCCUUGCCUGUUGCAUGCUGAGGUCUGCUGGCCAGCCCCUGGUGGGUGACCGGGAUUACUUGAGGGUGAGAUGUGGGUCCACAGGGAUGGCUUCUGCUGCCCGCUCUUCACCUUUUCCAGCCCAGAGCCCAAGGCCCUCCUGUCUGCAUCUGCCCCAGAGAAAUCCUGGGUGUUGAACACUGCCGCAGAGCACCUGGCAGGCCUUGCGCAGGCUCUGAACACUGCAGGCAUGCUCAGUCCCUUUCCAGUGGUGUAAGUAGCACCGUGCACUGAAGGAAAGCAGCCACCCACGUCCUGAAGGGAAUCUUCGAGAAGGCAGAUUUCAGGUUGAUUUUGCUGUUUGAAGUAUUCCAUGGUGGACGCUUGCCUGUCAUAAUGGUGUAGGUAGCAUCCCGAGCCAGAUUCGUGCGCACCACGGAGCCCCCUAGACCCUGGCCAUGUCACUGGGACAUGGCAACCCGAAGCAGCAUCUGGCAGGUCCAGGGGCCCCGGGGUGCAGCAAGGAGCAGCUGCUGCCCAAGUGGCCCCGUUCUCCGUGCGGGAGUGAGCAGCUCUGCCUCUGCUCACUUCUCAGGGCCCCGUGGGUUGUGCUUGGGCUUCCUCCCUCGCUCCUAGCUUGCCACCCUUGCACCCCUUCUGCUGCAUCAUAGAUCAUCCUGACCACGGGGGUGACUGCUGCUCUAGACAUCCUGCAGAUUCCUAGCGUAAGUUUGGUGUGACUCGAUGCAUUUUGAUUACUGUUACUAUGAUUUCCAGUGACAGUUGAAGUCCAGUGACACUCGGUUAAAAUGUGCGGGGUGGCCCAGUUGUGUAUACCCAGGGAGUAUGAAGACUAAAGGAACAAUUCGGACAAUUCACAGGCAGAAAAAAUAAUUCAGCAGCCACACCAAACAAACUCUACAAGAUUAACACACUGUAGGAAAUGUUAUUUAAUCAAGCUGAUUUCCUUAUAUUCAAAAA